GCCUUCCCACUAAGCAGGAAGACCUACGUGGGACUCCAUCCCAGGACCCUGGGAUCAUGACCGGAGCCGAGGACAGAUGCCUAACUGACUGAGCCACCCAGAGAGAUAACACCUCAUUUAACCCAAAUAACCUUAGAGGUGAAUACUAUUUCAUUGUCUUCAUUUUACCAAAGAAGCAACAAAAUGGUUCACAGUCAUGACGUCACCUAGUCCCCACGCAGAGGUGGGUGUUUUCAGCACCUGUUCUAAAGAUGAGCAGACAAUCUCAGGGGUUAUGACUUGUCCAAGUGCACUGCUAAGUGAGUGCAGAGCUAGAACCCAAACCCAAGACUUCUGUUUUCAAAGCUGAAAUGCUUAUGAGGAUUCUGCUCAUUUGUAAUUUGGAAGUUGGAAUUGGGCUCAGGGAAGAGGAGCUUGCUGUGAUGAACUUGAAACCUGGGCUCCAAGCCUAUUAUUUAUUUUACUUCUGGAAAAACCAGCCCCAAGUUGAUACUGGCCUUUCUCAAGCACUCUCCAGCUCCCUGACUUUUCUGGCAAUCAGUCUGGCUAAAAAUGGAGUGUUAAUUUGUCUCAUUGUACUAUCAAAAAGGAAGCUAGACAGAGGUGAGAAGAGAAGCUUCCUGACACAUAUUUAAGGAAAAAAGACCUUCAUUCCCAACUGUACAAGAGGAUCCUUUCCAAUCAGUUUACACUAGUCACAGUAAAUCUAAGAACAGUGUGUUCUUAAACAUAUUUGGAAUGGCCCACAUAGAAGUGGUUGGCUCUUGUAUUAUAUAUGACAAGUGGGCUAAGAAGGGAAUUAUACACACCCAGGGGAUAAGUUAAGUUGACCUGACCAAGUAAACCCAGUCUUCUACUCUCCUGGCUUCUGAUGCAAGUGAAAACCAAGGGAGGGAGAGGGGGAUUUAAGUAUUCCAGGCAAGACCACAUUGCAGUCCCUGCCCUGAAGCCAUCUCCUCUUGUGCUUCCCUCCAGUGCCUGGAACCAGAGAGAUCACCACCACCACCACCACCACCACCACCACCAGCCCCCACCCUGACACAAGGAAGCAGAUCACUCUGGCCAGGCACAGGGUCUCCUUUAAGUGGCUGUGGGAAUCGUGUGCACAUAUGUUUGCAUGCUUGAAGCCUGUUCAUUUAGUCACAGGAGGAAAAGAGGAGGGGGACAGAAACUCAGGGCAUCACAGUACCCGCUGAACAGCGUGGGCAGCUCUGUUGCUGAUUUCUGCUUUAUGCUGCUUUCUUGACCCAACUGUCAUGCAUGUUUUUUAUUACUCUGUGGAUUUGUCUUGCACUGAGGGGUGGGAAAAGGCUGGUGAAGCAAUGAUCAUGUAAGUGAAAGCAGUGAUUCUCUGGUGUCCGCUACAAAUUUCCCACAGUCUUUGCUAAUGCCUUGGGGUCCUCCAGGGUUUAGAAUUACAGCUUUCAGUAAAUAUUCUUAGACUCGCUCUCAACACGAGCUGCAGUGAAACAGCACCAAGUUUGCCAUGAGAGUCAUUCACUAAGUCGUGGGUCCAAACAUUGCUCAGAACUGAGGAGUGACAAUGACAGUAGCAGCUAGCAUUUGUUGAGUCUUUAACCCAUGGUAAGUACUCUUCUAAAAUCACUUGACAUGAAUUCACUGAUUUCAUCCUCAUAACAAUGCUAGCCAGAAAGCGCAAUCAUUAUCCACUUUGGGUAAAUGGGGAAACUGAGGCACAGAGAGGUUACGAGACUUACCAAGGUCACACAAAUCAUAGGUAGAGGAUGUAAGACUCAGACCUACAUAGUUGGACCCCAACAUCUCUAAGCUCUCCUCUUCCCAGGCCGACGAGAAUGAAAAAAAGGGAGAGUGAAGAGUCAUUAUUUUACACUAACCUUGUCAUCACUAAUUAAAGAAAUGAAACAUUUGUUAAAUAAGAACAAGUACUAAUUCUUUUACAAAUGGGGACAUUUUCUUUAUUUUUUUAUUUACUUUAAAAGAUUUAUUUAUUGGGGUGCUUGGGUGGC